rnacentral:rRNA from 1 species
UACGUAGGGUGCGAGCGUUGUCCGGAAUUAUUGGGCGUAAAGAGCUCGUAGGCGGUGUGUCACGUCGUUCGUGAAAACCUGCAGCUUAACUGUGGGCGUGCGGUCGAUACGGGCAUCACUGGAGUUCGGCAGGGGAGACUGGAAUUCCUGGUGUAGCGGUGAAAUGCGCAGAUAUCAGGAGGAACACCGGUGGCGAAGGCAGCUUACUAGGCUCUAACUGACACUGAGGCACGAAAGUGUGGGGAUCAAACAGG